UCUUGUUAGUGAAAAAUGUGG
rnacentral:piRNA from 1 species